rnacentral:rRNA from 1 species
CAGCAGCCACGGUAAUACAGAGGGUGCGAGCGUUAAUCGGAUUUACUGGGCGUAAAGCGUGCGUAGGCGGCUAAUUGAGUCGGAUGUGAAAUCCCCGAGCUUAACUUGGGAAUUGCAUUCGAUACUGGUUAGCUAGAGUGUGGGAGAGGAUGGUAGAAUUCCAGGUGUAGCGGUGAAAUGCGUAGAGAUCUGGAGGAAUACCGAUGGCGAAGGCAGCCAUCUGGCCUAACACUGACGCUGAGGUACGAAAGCAUGGGGAGCAAACAGGAUUAGAUACCCCGGUAGUCCCUGUCUCUUAUAA